rnacentral:piRNA from 1 species
UGUCAACCUGACUGUAUUGCUUUUGUUGG